CAGGACCUCAGCUCUCCACACGGGUGUCUACUUUAUCCACUUUGACACUCUUCACCAAGAACCCCUGUCCUCUGUGUGAUGAAGCUAAAGAAGAGCUGGAACCCUUCAGACACAGAGUGAGACUCGUUUAUCUUACAGCUGGUGGACAUCAGUCUCCCAGAGAACAAAGUAUGGCUCGACAGGUACAGGUGGGACAUACCUGUCUUCCACCUGAAUGGACAGUUUGUCAUGAAACAUCGAGUGGACGUUGUCCUGCU